rnacentral:rRNA from 1 species
GACGAACGCUGGCGGCGUGCUUAACACAUGCAAGUCGAACGGAAAGGCCCUGCUUUUGUGGGGUGCUCGAGUGGCGAACGGGUGAGUAACACGUGAGUAACCUGCCCUUGACUUUGGGAUAACUUCAGGAAACUGGGGCUAAUACCGGAUAGGAGCUCCUGCUGCAUGGUGGGGGUUGGAAAGUUUCGGCGGUUGGGGAUGGACUCGCGGCUUAUCAGCUUGUUGGUGGGGUAGUGGCUUACCAAGGCUUUGACGGGUAGCCGGCCUGAGAGGGUGACCGGCCACCUUGGGACUGAGAUACGGACCAGACUCCUACGGGAGGCAGCAGUGGGGAAUAUUGCACAAUGGGCGGAAGCCUGAUGCAGCAACGCCGCGUGCGGGAUGCCGGCCUUCGGGUUGUAAACCGCUUUCGCCUGUGACGAAGCGUGAGUGACGGUAAUGGGUAAAGAAGCACCGGCUAACUACGUG